rnacentral:rRNA from 1 species
AUGGCGUCCUCCGGAGUCGGCGGGAAGCCGUCGAGGUCCGCCAUCGUGGCCGACACGGCCAGCGGGCACCACUUUCUCACCAUCCACGGCUACUCCUGCACCAAGAACCUUCCCACCGGAGAGAAGAUCAGUUCUCGGCCCUUCACAGUCGGCGGCCACCGCUGGCGCAUCGACUACUACCCCAACGGCUCAAGCUCGGCGGUCGCGGACUACGUAUCCCUCUCCCUAAUCCUCGACGAAGAUGUCGCGGCAGCGGUGAAGGCGAAGCACUGCUUCUGCCUCUCUGGGGAGGCGGAGAAAAUUCAGGCGGCGCGGCUGACGUCGUCGUCGGUGGUCACAUUCUCGUCCAGGAGGUCUUGCUUCUACAACUGGUACUCCACCUUCAUCAGAAGAGAGGACCUGCAGAAGUCCAAGAAUCUACAGAACGACUCGUUCACCGUCCGGUGUGAUAUCCUUGUCGUCCAUGGUUACCGCGCCCAGGAUGCGGCGGCGGCGGCUUUCGUCUCCGUGCCCCCGUGCGACCUGCGGGGGGACCUUGGCAAGCUCCUCGAGGCCGAGAAAGGUGCCGACGUGGUGUUUGAGGUUGGGGGUGAGACCAUCGCCGCGCACCGGUGUGUGCUGGCAGCCCGCUCGUCAGUCUUCGCAGCCGAGCUCUUCGGACCAAUGAAGGAGGGCAAGGUCGAAAGCGGCAUUGUGCGCGUGGAAGACAUGGAGGCGGAGGUGUUCAAGGCGCUGCUCCGUUUCGUGUACACCGGCUUGUUGCCUGAGAUGCGCAAGGAAGAGGAAGAUGUCACCUGCCAGCAUCUGCUCGUCGCGGCAGACAGGUAUGGAAUGGACCGGCUGAAGCUGAUCUGUGAGGAGAAGCUGUGUGAGUACAUUGACGUCAGCACUGCAGCGACUAUCCUGCUACUAGCCGAGCAACAUCACUGUGAGGGGUUGAAGAAGGCGUGCUUCGAUUUUCUUGCGGCUCCGACAAAUCUGAGGGCAACCGUAGCCACCGAUGGCUUACAACAUCUUAGCGUGAGCUGCCCAUCUCUUAUGGUCAAGCUGAUGGCCAUGUCCUUGGGGCAUUAG